rnacentral:rRNA from 1 species
GAUCCUGGCUCAGAUUGAACGCUGGCGGCAGGCCUAACACAUGCAAGUCGAGCGGUAGAGAGAAGCUUGCUUCUCUUGAGAGCGGCGGACGGGUGAGUAAUGCCUAGGAAUCUGCCUGGUGGUGGGGGGAUAACGUUCGGAAACGGACGCUAAUACCGCAUACGUCCUACGGGAGAAAGCGGGGGAUCUUCGGACCUCGCGCCAUUAGAUGAGCCUAGGUCGGAUUAGCUAGUUGGUGAGGUAAUGGCUCACCAAGGCGACGAUCCGUAACUGGUCUGAGAGGAUGAUCAGUCACACUGGAACUGAGACACGGUCCAGACUCCUACGGGAGGCAGCAGUGGGGAAUAUUGGACAAUGGGCGAAAGCCUGAUCCAGCCAUGCCGCGUGUGUGAAGAAGGUCUUCGGAUUGUAAAGCACUUUAAGUUGGGAGGAAGGGCAGUAACCUAAUACGUUAUUGUUUUGACGUUACCGACAGAAUAAGCACCGGCUAACUUCGUG